CAGUGCCUAAGUGUUCCCUUUUUCUCCAC
rnacentral:piRNA from 1 species